rnacentral:rRNA from 1 species
CUUGCUCCCUGAUGUUAGCGGCGGACGGGUGAGUAACACGUGGGUAACCUGCCUGUAAGACUGGGAUAACUCCGGGAAACCGGGGCUAAUACCGGAUGGUUGUUUGAACCGCAUGGUUCAGACAUAAAAGGUGGCUUCGGCUACCACUUACAGAUGGACCCGCGGCGCAUUAGCUAGUUGGUGAGGUAACGGCUCACCAAGGCGACGAUGCGUAGCCGACCUGAGAGGGUGAUCGGCCACACUGGGACUGAGACACGGCCCAGACUCCUACGGGAGGCAGCAGUAGGGAAUCUUCCGCAAUGGACGAAAGUCUGACGGAGCAACGCCGCGUGAGUGAUGAAGGUUUUCGGAUCGUAAAGCUCUGUUGUUAGGGAAGAACAAGUGCCGUUCAAAUAGGGCGGCACCUUGACGGUACCUAACCAGAAAGCCACGGCUAACUACGUGCCAGCAGCCGCGGUAAUACGUAGGUGGCAAGCGUUGUCCGGAAUUAUUGGGCGUAAAGGGCUCGCAGGCGGCUUCUUAAGUCUGAUGUGAAAGCCCCCGGCUCAACCGGGGAGGGUCAUUGGAAACUGGAGAACUUGAGUGCAGAAGAGGAGAGUGAAAUUCCACGUGUAGCGGCG